rnacentral:rRNA from 1 species
UACGUAGGUGGCAAGCGUUGUCCGGAUUUAUUGGGUUUAAAGGGUGCGUAGGCGGCCUUGUAAGUCAGUGGUGAAAUACUCUAGCUUAACUAGAGGGGUGCCAAUGAUACUGCAGGGCUUGAGUACAGAUGGGGUAGGCGGAAUUGACGGUGUAGCGGUGAAAUGCAUAGAUAUCGUCAAGAACACCUAUAGCGAAGGCAGCUUACUGGGCUGUAACUGACGCUGAGGCACGAAAGUGUGGGGAUCAAACAGG